rnacentral:lncRNA from 1 species
GUCGCCAGCAGAGGGACACAUUGUCUCUCACAUGUCGCUUUGUGUGAAAGACAGUAUUUUGCGAUAUAUCCUAAACAACAGCGAUGGCAGUGAGAAACACUUGAUAGAUUUGGAAUUGAGAUAUGAAGACUCUAUUUAUUUGUUUAACAAGACGUUGUAUAUGCCGGUGUUUUUGCUGUGGUGUUCAGGUUGAGUGUUGGCUGAACACAGGCAGCUCCAGCUGGACAGAUUUGAACGGCCAAGAAAAUCCCUGCUGAAACUAUCUGUGAUAAUAGCGAUUUAAGGAUGACAAUCUCAGUAAUUCUCGGCUCAAACACUUUUGAGCACCCUGAGACUCUCUGGCGCUGAUGCUCGGGUUAUUUUGGGAAGGCUGGAUGUGUCUGCUGGAGGGUGUGAGGACGUUUGCUCCCGGUGAGAGUCAGGAGCGAAGCAGGCAGUGGUGGGACGGGCCAGGGGAAGUUUACAAUUGCAGGCCAGGCAUCAGACACACAGCAGCACUAGAGGAGGGGAGAGGUCACCUCAAAGGUCAAAGGUCAUUGUUAUCAUCAGAAGUCCAUGAUGCAGUUCUGCAGAGAUCAGAUACGGG